AUACUUACCUGGCAGGGGAGAUGCCAUGAUCAGGAAGAUGGUUUUCCAGGGCGAGGCUUACCCAUUGCACUCCGCAUGUGCAGGCCCCGGCGAUUUCCCCACUCGACUGCAUGAUGUGUGUGUGUGUGUGGUGAGGGGGGGGGGAGACUGUGUUCACACU